rnacentral:lncRNA from 1 species
UCUUUGGCUCCUAGACUGGUUAGAGUGUGACAUAAUUCAUUGGAUUUAUUAAUUCGUAGGCUAGACAAUUCUUUCGGUGAACACCUAUAGAUGCCAUCUAUUGAUUUUGUCAGCUGAUUGACUUUAAUUUUGUUUUUCUUUUCGACACCUAUGUAUUUGCACUUCUAUUUUUGUGAUGGGUUAUAUAGUAAUGUUCAUUAUAUGAGAUUAAGC